rnacentral:rRNA from 1 species
AGUGAACGCUGGCGGUAGGCCUAACACAUGCAAGUCGAACGGCAGCACAGUAAGAGCUUGCUCUUACGGGUGGCGAGUGGCGGACGGGUGAGGAAUACAUCGGAAUCUACUUUUUCGUGGGGGAUAACGUAGGGAAACUUACGCUAAUACCGCAUACGACCUACGGGUGAAAGCAGGGGAUCUUCGGACCUUGCGCGAUUGAAUGAGCCGAUGUCGGAUUAGCUAGUUGGCGGGGUAAGGGCCCACCAAGGCGACGAUCCGUAGCUGGCCUGAGAGGAUGAUCAGCCACACUGGAACUGAGACACGGUCCAGACUCCUACGGGAGGCAGCAGUGGGGAAUAUUGGACAAUGGGCGCAAGCCUGAUCCAGCCAUACCGCGUGGGUGAAGAAGGCCUUCGGGUUGUAAAGCCCUUUUGUUGGGAAAGAAAAGCAGCAGGUUAAUACCCCGCUGUUCUGACGGUACCCAAAGAAUAAGCACCGGCUAACUUCGUG